GCGCAGCUUGCUAUUGUACAGGUUUAGAAUUUAGAAAGGUGACCUAUUUUUUCAUGUGAACUUACCUAUUCUUUGCUAUUCAGAAUGAUUAUUUAUCUUCCCAUUGCUGUGUUAAUUGAUUCAUAUGCGGUUCUGCUAUUCUGACAAGGAUAUCCAUCAAGGUUAUUUGGAGGGACAUAAUGAAACGUCACAAGUUCUACUUUGCUGAUUCUUUCAGAGAAUUGUUUCAUUACUAAUGCGCUGUCGCGGACAUGUAUUAAUCCCAAAUUCCAAAUCACUCUGGAAUCCAGUCAAAAUCCAGUCAAAAUCACUCCGGAAUCCUUCUCCGUAAUUGAUUCGCAAACUACUCUCAAGGACUGCUCUGAACCUCAAAUAUCGUGGGCACAUGAAGUUGUGGUGUAAUUUUUACAGAAACAAGUGAUCCAGGCAGCAAGGUAUUGAUUGAUGCAACUAUGUUGUAAUGUUUCAGUGACUGUUAAUAUUUUUUUAGGAAGAAUAACCAAUUCAGAUGAUACCCAAGGAGUUCUGGAUGGGAGAUUGUUUAUUUCUACGUCGUGCAAUUCAACAUUUCAGUACUAAAAGUAUUUUUCAUGUUAUCCAAGUAUUUUUCAU
rnacentral:lncRNA from 1 species